rnacentral:rRNA from 1 species
GACGAACGCUGGCGGCGUGCCUAAUACAUGCAAGUCGAACGCAGGGGUGACGGGUGAGUAACACGUUGGUAAGCUCCCCUCAGAGGGGAGAAGACUUUGAAACAGGUGCUAUACCGAUACUGCUGGUUGGACCCGGGGUGCAUUAGCUAGUUGGUGAGGUAACGGCGCACCAAGGCCACGAUGCAUAGCCGAGCUGAGAGGGUGAUCGGCCACACUGGGACUGAGACACGGCCCAGACUCCUACGGGAGGCAGCAGUAGGGAAUCUUCGGCAAGGGGCGAAAGUCUGACCCAGCCAAGCCGCGUGAGUGAAGAAGGUUUUCGGAUCGUAAAACUCUGUUGUUAGAGAAGCGGUAUCUAACCAGAAAGCCACGGCUAACUACGUGCCAGCAGCCGCGGUAAUAC